UACGUAGGUGGCAAGCGUUGUCCGGAUUUACUGGGCGUAAAGAGCGCGCAGGCGGUCGUUCAAGUCGCGUGUGAAAGCCCCCGGCUCAACUGGGGAGGGUCACGCGAUACUGAUCGACUCGAAGGCAGGAGAGGGUAGUGGAAUUCCCGGUGUAGUGGUGAAAUGCGCAGAUAUCAGGAGGACCACCAAUUGCGAAGGCAGCUCGCUGGGACGUUACUGACGCUGAGACGCGAAGGCGUGGGGAGCAAACAGG
rnacentral:rRNA from 1 species